AUUAAACGCUGGCGGCAUGCCUUACACAUGCAAGUCGAACGGCAGCACGGGGGCAACCCUGGUGGCGAGUGGCGGACGGGUGAGUAAAGCAUCGGAACGUAUCCUGGAGUGGGGGAUAACGUAGCGAAAGUUACGCUAAUACCGCAUAUUCUGUGAGCAGGAAAGCAGGGGAUCGCAAGACCUUGCGCUCUGGGAGCGGCCGAUGUCGGAUUAGCUAGUUGGUGGGGUAAAGGCCUACCAAGGCGACGAUCCGUAGCGGGUCUGAGAGGAUGAUCCGCCACACUGGGACUGAGACACGGCCCAGACUCCUACGGGGGGGCAGCAGUGGGGAAUUUUGGACAAUGGGCGGAAGCCUGAUCCAGCCAUGCCGCGUGAGUGAAGAAGGCCUCGGGUUGGUAAAGUCGUCUUCGGUCGGGGAAGGAAAGUUAGUCACGGGUAAGUACCCUGUGUAGAGUGACGG
rnacentral:rRNA from 1 species